UUAAAGGCGUGGGCCACCACGCCUGGCUCUAAUGUGCUUUUCUCCAGAGGAAGGUGGGUCUGGCAUCAUUUGACUUCUUGAUUCAGUUCCAUUCAGCAAGCACUAGACAGAGCCACCUGGGUGCCAGCCUUGACUGAGUUCCAGGGACUCAGAUAUGACUCAGAUGAAGCUUCUGCUAUCACAGAUCUACUCACAGACAGGUAGACAGACAGACCACUGCUGUCAACCUGUACCACCUGUAGGACAGGGCACCAUGAGGACCUUCUCAACCGCCCACAUCCUUAUCUAGAAGUGGGUCCAGUGAGAGUAGGCUGGCCCCCUUACAUUCUGGGUCCCUUUACAACACAUGACAUAUUUACACUGAGAGUCCAGUCUGUGACUUGAGUUCCUAUGCUGGCUGGGCCUGGCUGAGCAGAAGAAAUAGAGAGGCACACACCUGUCCCCAGGGGUUCCAUGAGCACAGGGUUCACUCAAGGGUUCUAAAUUAAACUGCAUGGUUAAAUUCAGAUGGUAAGUAGGUUUGAGACCUUUGAGAGGCACCAAGGUGGCCCAAGGUCACAUGGGAAGACAGCUCUCAGUUGAUAAAGGAGUUCAGGACGAAUUCAGGAAGUAACAUCACGGGUAUGGUGGGCCACAUCCACAGCCAGGUUCCAGGAAACUGUCCCUGUGUCCCACAUCCAGCAGUGGUCAUCUCCUUUGGGCAUAUUCAACUUUCCCCUUUGACUCUCUCAUUCCCACCAGCCACUUAAAGAUCUUGCCAAUUGGAAAAGUCUGGGGAAGUCCAGAUUUCUGUGAUCUACCAUGAUGAGCUGUACAGCCCUGGAUGGCACCUGGCCAAUCUCCCUCCAGACUUUUCUUUGUGAAUUUUGACAACUGAAGUAUAAUGGAUGUCUGCUUAUGCCCUGCUUGGACACAGAGCCAGCCACCUGGGCUCAGCUCAGCUCUAUUAUUCCUGGAGGCCCCCUUUCUAAAGAACCCGGCAAGUUCUAAGAUAAUGACAUGUCCCUUAGGUGAGCUGCUGCCUGAGACUGGGUGUAAAUGUGGCUUUUGCUACUUCAUCCUAACUCAGCCUGAACCUUUCUGAUACUGUGACAAAAGCCUGAAGCAGACAGCUUAUGAAGCAAAAAGGUUUAUUAUGGCUGGGGUCUUUGAAAUUCCAGCCCAGAAGGUGGUGGGCCCUAUCUCCUUUAUAACUGUGCAGCAGAUGGUUGCAAAGCAGAGCUGCCAGUGUCACAGCUGGAAAAUGAAAGAAAAAAGACCAAGAGUCACACAGUCCCCUCACACACACUCCCAUGAUGGAAGAUCCCACACUGCAGAGCCCUGCACUUGCAAUAACAGUCUUUAGUCCAGGUCCUCACAUGUUCUACAGCAUGUUCCAUUGCAUCACAUUGUGCCGCAACUGAAGAGCUCCAGGGACUCUCAAGGCCCAAAGUAUAAGAGCUAGCCUCAACUAUGUCUCCAUCUGCUAUUCUAUGUACAAUAGAAGCUGACUGUGGAAUUCUUAAACCCCAUUCAUAAGGUUAUAGCUACAAAUGAGCAGAUCGCCUUCCAAAACAUCAAGUGAUCACCUCGUCACAGCUUCCUGGCCCAAGUGCUCUGUGUGUGUCUGUGUGUGUACAAGUGUCUAUACAUGUGUCUGCAGGUACAAUUAUGUAUAUUUAUGUGUGUACAUAGGUGUGAAGGGAAGAGAGGCCAGCUGUAGCUGCCAUUCCUCAGUCACUAUCAUUUGUUGAGAUAAGGAACUUAUCUUGCCGGCCUGGGACUCAAGUAAGCUAGGCUGUCAGGUCACAAGGUCCAGGGUCCUCCUGUUGCCACUUUCCAUCCCUGGGAUUACACGUGUAUACCACCGUGCGUGCCUGGUGUUUUCAGCUCAGGUUCUGGCAUAGAGCUCGGGCCCUCGUGCUUGUGAGGUAAGCACUUGUGCAGCUGAGAAUCUUCCCAGACAUAAGAUACUGUUCAAGCCCUCCAGUGCUCAGCCCAACCCCCUCCUCUGUGAAGCAGAGCCUCAACACCUCUCUACCCUCCGUGGCCCCUAGCCACCCCAGCUGCAGGUCUGAGACAGAGAGAGCUCACCACCCCCAGCCCUGCUUUCUGGUCUCCACCAGACAAAUGUAUCUCCAUUAGAUACCGGGAGGCUGCCUCAGCAACAUAGGUUGGUGCCAGAUUCUGUUUUGUUUUGAGACAGGGUCUCACUAUGUAGCCCUUGCAGGCCGGGAAAUCACUAUGUAGACCAGGCUGACCUCUAAGUCAUAGCCCAUCAGCCUCUGCUGCCUGGGAGCCAAGAUCAAAGGCAUGUGCCAUCACUCUCAGCUUUUGCUACUUCAUCCUAACGCAGCCUGAACCUUUCCGAUACUGUGACAAAAGCCUGAAGCAGUACACUCCUCUAUACAGGAGAGGAGCAACUAAGGCCCCGACCAGAGGGUGACUUAACCCAGAUCACACAGUUCCUGAGAAGUGCAAAUGAUUCCUGCUAACCAGUGUUUCCUUCAUGCCGAAGCCUUCCCAUCAUUGCUCCGUUGGCAGUGGGCCCAGCUCAGCCACCUGCACUCCCUAGUACCACAUGCUCCACCCUCAUAGGGACUAAACUGCCUGCUUCGUGUUUCCUGGGUCCUAGCUUAUCCUCAUCUGCACCUGUGGGGCCUCUCCAGUCCACCCACCCCCAAUGGACCAUUCUGAUCUGGAAGCUCUCCCAGGCUUGAUCCUACACAGCCUGACAGUGGCAAUUCCUGGUUGUCAACUUGACUAUAUCUGGAAUGAACUACAAUCCAGAAUUAGAAGGCUCAACUGUGAUCCUAAUCUGAAGUUUCUGACCUGGAUCUUGGCAUGGAGAUCUUGAGGCAUAGUGGCUAUGAAUCCCAGAAGACAGGGAGAUCUCUGAGUUCAAGGUCAUCUAGGACAAAGCAAGUCAUAGAUCCAGGCCUGGUGGCACACAUCUUUAAUCUGGGCCACACCUUCUGAUGAAGACCUUCAUAAGGACACUGGAAAAAGGAAGAGUCACUCUCUCUCUCUCCUUCACCUGCUUGCCGUGUGGGACUGAGCAACUGCUAGAUCCUUGGACUUCCAUUCACAGCUGCUGCUGACUAUUGUUGGGAGUCAGACUACAGGCUGUAAGUCAUCAACAAAUUCCCUUACUAUACAGAGACUACCCAUAAGUUCUGUGACUCUA